GUCUUUUUAGUACAAUCAAUAUAAAUGACUUCCAAUCAUUUGAUCUUAGUUAUAUCUAAGAAAAGACA
rnacentral:tRNA from 1 species